rnacentral:rRNA from 1 species
UGGCGGCCUUAGCGCGGUGGUCCCACCUGACCCCAUGCCGAACUCAGAAGUGAAACGCCGUAGCGCCGAUGGUAGUGUGGGGCUUCCCCAUGCGAGAGUAGGGAACUGCCAGGCA